UGGCCGGCGGCGCGGUGGUCGACGGCGCGUUCCGGCUCGCCGGGCCGGACUGGACCCCGGAGGGCCAGUGGUGGCUCGGCGUCCACCACCGGGCGG
rnacentral:tRNA from 1 species